GCCCAGCUGGCUCAGUUAGUAGAGCAUGGGACUCUUGAUCUUGGGGUUGUGAGUUUGAGCCCCACACUGGGUG
rnacentral:tRNA from 1 species